GUGGGGAAUCUUGCGCAAUGGGCGAAAGCCUGACGCAGCCAUGCCGCGUGAAUGAUGAAGGUCUUAGGAUUGUAAAAUUCUUUCACCGGGGACGAUAAUGACGGUACCCGGAGAAGAAGCCCCGGCUAACUUCGUGCCAGCAGCCGCGGUAAUACGAAGGGGGCUAGCGUUGCUCGGAAUUACUGGGCGUAAAGGGCGCGUAGGCGGACAGUUUAGUCAGAGGUGAAAGCCCAGGGCUCAACCUUGGAAUUGCCUUUGAUACUGGCUGUCUUGAGUACGGGAGAGGUGGGUGGAACUCCGAGUGUAGAGGUGAAAUUCGUAGAUAUUCGGAAGAACACCAGUGGCGAAGGCGACUCACUGGCCCGAUACUGACGCUGAGGCGCGAAAGCGUGGGGAGCAAACAGGAUUAGAAACCCCGGUAGUCC
rnacentral:rRNA from 1 species